UUCAUAGAGUCUUUAUUUGUUGUUUUAUUUAUUUAAAUUAAAGGUGUAUCUUUUAUAAAAGAAUCUUGUAUAAGUGAUGAUUACUAAUUUUCAAUGAAGAAUGUAACACCUUGAACCAAUAUUUUUUUUUUAAUUCAUUUUGACUCCGAGUCUUGAAAGUUAUAUUUUUAUCCGCUGCGUAGUUUUGAAAAAGCAUUCUUUUAUUAAGAUAAAUUGAAUAUUGGGUUAGGGUGGUUACAUUUGAGUCUUACAAGACUAGAAGAAUUAGUCGCUGCAAUUACAUGCAGAAGAUAUAUAAUUUACGCAACAACAAAAAUUGAAAAUAAAAAAAUAUUUGUGA
rnacentral:lncRNA from 1 species